GCCAGAUGCAGUGGCGUCUGUAGUCCCAGAUACUUGGGAGGUUGAGACAGCAGGAUCACUUGAGUCCAGGAGAUCUAGGCUAUAGUGUGCUAUGCUGAUCAGGUGUUCACACUAAGUUCAGCAUCAAUAUGGUGACCCCCCCAGAGUGGGGAGCCACCAGGUUGCCUAAGGAGGGGUGAACCAGCCCAGGUCGGAAACAGAGCAGGUCAAAACUCCUGUGCUGACUGCUCAGGAGGCUGAGGCAAGAGAAUCGCCUAAGUGCAGAAGUCGGACCCAUUCAGUACUACGGCCUGAG
rfam:Otolemur garnettii contig164636, whole genome shotgun sequence.